UGAACAUGUUGAGCGGACUGAUAGAUGUACUUACUUUGUUUUUGGUCAUUUUUGAGAGAGUGUGUCGUAAUAUGGCUUUCAGCCUGCACAAAGCGGGACAAGGGAGCAUAGAAACACAUGUUUGACAAAUAAAUAAGUAGUAGUGGCAGCAGAGAUUUUCCAGAGAGAUUUUAGUUAUUUAUGGCCUACAAAAUGAAUUGUAAUGUUCUCUCAGCUGAUGACCUACCCCCUCACUCCUUGAAAAACUCAAUGAAUAUAACCAUAGUGUUUAAAUGCAACACAAGAAGAAGCAGCAGGUUGAAUGGAAGAUCACCCACACUUGAUUGUUCAGGAGCAUGAUGUAAAGUACUUUGUUAGCAGGACAGGACAGCAGGAAAUAUCUGGAGGUUACCUUGUUUUUACAUGGAAAAUUAAGUAUUGUACUAGCCUGCAUACUCUUAUCCUUACUGAUAUUUUUAAUCUCUUCUGGUAAUCCUGUUUGUGUUCCUGCCUGAGGUCUUUGAGACACAUCAGGGUCCCAGUCCUCAAAUAGGAUUGAUGUUUGCAGUGUGUUUAAACUACAAUUUAAAAAAAAAAAACAA